AUUGAACGCUGGCGGCAGGCUUAACACAUGCAAGUCGAGCGGAGCGAGGGUGCUUGCACCUUAGCUUAGCGGCGGACGGGUGAGUAAUGCUUAGGAAUCUGCCUAUUAGUGGGGGACAACAUUCCGAAAGGAAUGCUAAUACCGCAUACGCCCUACGGGGGAAAGCAGGGGAUCUUCGGACCUUGCGCUAAUAGAUGAGCCUAAGUCGGAUUUGCUAGUUGGUGGGGUAAAGGCCUACCAAGGCGACGAUCUGUAGCGGGUCUGAGAGGAUGAUCCGCCACACUGGGCCUUAGACACGGCCCAGACUCCUACGGGAGGCAGCAGUGGGGAAUAUUGGACAAUGGGCGGAAGCCUGAUCCAGCCAUGCCGCGUGUGUGAAGAAGGCCUUUUGGUUGUAAAGCACUUUAAGCGAGGAGGAGGCUACUUAGAUUAAUACUCUGGGAUAGUGGACGUUACUCGCAGAAUAAGCACCGGCUAACUCUGUGCCAGCCGCCGCCGUAA
rnacentral:rRNA from 1 species